GACGAACGCUGGCGGCGUGCUUAACACAUGCAAGUCGAACGGAAAGGCCAUGCUCUUGCGGGGUGCUCGAGUGGCGAACGGGUGAGUAACACGUGAGUAACAUGCACUUGACUUUGGGAUAACUUCAGGAGACUGGGGCUAAUACCGGAUAGGAGAUACUGAUGCAUGGUGGGGGUUGGAAAGUUUCGGCGGUUGGGGCUGGACUAGCGGCUUAUGGGCUUGUUGGUGGGGUAGUGGAUUACAAAGGCUUUGAAGGGUAGCCGGCCUGAGAGGGGGGCCGGCCACAAUGGGACUGCGGGACGCCCCAGACUCCUACGGGACGCAGCAGUGGAGAAUAUUGCACAAUGGGCGGAAGCCUGAUGCAGCAACGCCGCGUUCGUGAUGACGUCUUUCGGGUUGUGAACCGCUUUCGCCGGUGACGAAGCGGGAUUGACGGUAAUGGGUAAAGAAGCACCGGCUAACUACGUG
rnacentral:rRNA from 1 species